UACUUGCCUGCCAAAGCAACACAAGUAACUAUGCAACACUUGUCUUAUAUGUUGCAUUGCAUACUUUGUACACUGCUAUUUUCUUGAGGGCACUCUGUUGCCAAGCUUUAUUUCAGAUCCCAUCAACAAGAUCGAAUAGAGCUUUGCAAAAAGUGGUGUUUUAUAUUUUGGAUGAUAGAUCAUAACCUAUUAUUGAAUGAAUGUGUAACUUAUUAGUCUAUCGGUAUAUCAUGUUCUCAUGUCCCUAACUAGAAACUUGACAUAGCAUGUUCUGUUGUUUUUUUGUUUCACAAACAUGAAGCAUGUAGUGAGUGUAUGUUUAUAUGUUUUCCUCUAAACCAAUGAGCCUGAAGGUUGUUGCUUUUUGUUACGCUUCAGUACGAUUUGUAACGACAAUCAAACUGAUGGCUAUCUAAUCUGUACUCUUUGCUCUGCCCUUGUUAAACUAGUUUGAGAGCCUGUCGUCAUAUGGAGACAAAGUUAUUGCUACAGGCUUGCCUGCAUCACCAGGAGCUGCUGUAGGCCAGAUUGUCUUCACAGCUGACGAUGCUGAAGCAUGGCAUGCACAAGGAAAAUCUGUCAUUCUGGUGAGGACGGGCAUCGGGCUGUCGGUGCCGCCGGGGUUCACGGUGUCGACGGAGGCGUGCCAGCAGUGGACCCAUGUGGACCACACGUCAUCCUCACUAACCUCUUCUCUCUAUCCUCUCUCUCCCUCUUCUCUCUCUCCAGCCGACGGAGCGGGGUGGGCGGCGGCCGGAGCGGGCGAUGGCGGGGCGGAGCCGAGGAGCGAAGCGGCGCGCCGGCCGGCGGGGGAGAAGUCGCGGCGCGGCGGUGGCCGGAGGGGCGUGGGGCGCCGACCGUUGGGAGCAGAGGAGCCGCCCGUGGCCCGCGGCCGUCUGCGGGUGCGUGCCGGCGUCCACCUUGAUGUUGGCGUUGCCGUUGGCGACCAGGGCCUUGAGGUCGGCCUGCUCGUCGCCGGCGACGAAGCGGAGCGGGCACAAGCCCGCGCUCCACUUCGACCUCCAUGAGCUUGGAGAAGACGCCGACCAUGGGCGCCGUGUUGUACGUGCAGGCCUCCGUCUGCAUGUACGCGUUGCGGUGGUCGACGAACACGUCGUUGCUGUUGGGCCCGCCGAUGACAGCGUCGACGAGGUCGUGCGACUCCCCCCCCCCCCCCCGGCCGCGCUGUGGAAUGAAAGCAUACUGCUCGACUACCUGGUGAAAUAGCUCUUCAAAUCUACAAGCAAAAUUACAGACAUGUGAAUCAAUGACAAAUUGUGCAUUAUACUUUUACAAAUUGCAAUGUUUUCACUUAUCAUUUGUCAAAUACUCAAGAAAUGUUACACUUUUAUGAUGCCAAAGCCUUUUCUUUCCCCUAUCUAUCCAUUUGUGCUGAAUCGUUUCACUUCAAAAAAA